rnacentral:tRNA from 1 species
GUUUCUGUGGUUUAGUGGUUAUCACGUUUGCUUCACACGUGAAAGGUCCCUGGUUCGAAACCGGGCGGAAACA